UACGUAGGGGGCAAGCGUUGUCCGGAAUCAUUGGGCGUAAAGAGCUCGUAGGCGGUGUGUCACGUCGUUCGUGAAAACCUGCAGCUUAACUGUGGGCGUGCGGUCGAUACGGGCAUCACUGGAGUUCGGCAGGGGAGACUGGAAUUCCUGGUGUAGCGGUGAAAUGCGCAGAUAUCAGGAGGAACACCGGUGGCGAAGGCGGGUCUCUGGGCCGAUGAACUGACGCUGGAGGAAGCGAAAGCGUGGGGAGCAAACAGG
rnacentral:rRNA from 1 species